rnacentral:rRNA from 1 species
AUGACGCAAAAUGAUCGUACACUGAAACUGAAGCCUUUGGAAAUUGAAACACAAACCUUACUUAAGAGCAGGCAAAGGUGCAGAGCCAACGGCAUGCUCUUGGAUCAAUAUUCUACAGGUGAUGUUGUUGCCUGCUCUUCUAAACUGCCGCUUGUUUAUCAUUUGCUGUUUUGCUUAUCAAGGAGGGUAACUACUGGAAGCAGUUGGCAAGGCAAGCAUUCAAUGGAUCUCAAAGCGUUGAUCCUGAAGGAAGGUAACUACUCAAAGGUGAACCAACCCCUUGGACUGCUGCGAAAAACACCAUCAGAUUUCAAAGUAGCCCGGUCUAAUUCAAAAAUUUCCACUAACGCAAGAGGGAUUCCUGCGACUAACGCUAGAGCAAAGGGAAAGGACAAUGAAGCAGCAAUAAACAGAUUGAAGAGCUAUUAG